UAGAGCUCUUGUGAGGACAAAGUCCGAUCAUGGCUAUGGGAAACUACGAGUACAGUGGACUGAAAGGACUGUUUUGGGGAUUAACUGAGAUAAUGUUUGCAAAGUGCCAUCACUCAGCAGUUUGUAGAUGCUGUGAUUGCUGGUUCAAGGAAGUUCACUGCAAGUCUGGUGAUGAUGAAGAUUCCUCUCUGUCCUUCCGCUUUGACCUGAGGAGUUUCACAAUGUGGCCAAGGAGAUCACAAGAACGAAAUGUCUUCUGGAUGAUUCCUUCAUACUUAACAUCACCAGAGAACAGAAAGCAGCAUUCUUUAUCUGCAAAGAUACCCCUUGGGGUACAAUAAAAAGGGGAUUACUGAGCCUGUGCAAGAGAUCUCUGCCCAGAAGCUCCUACCUGUCAAAAUGGUUUCAGUUGGUCCAAUUUUCUUCUCAUCACAG